AAGGGAGACCUAAUUCAGGUAGGAGACGAAAAAAAGUAGUCCCUACCAAGAAUCAAUCCCAAAAGGUCGGAGCGAGGCAAAAUUGGCUUUCAAACUAGGUUCUGGGUUCACAUAAGACCUGAAUCAGGAACAAGGGCUAUUAGCUCAGGUGGUUAGAGCGCACCCCCGAUAAGGGUGAGGCCCCUGGUUCGAGUCCAGGAUGGCCCACCUGCACAGGUGGCAAAAACAAAGAAAAGAAGCUCCGAAUCAGCACCUUAUCUUACUCAUAUAGUAAGAGAGAAUGCCGGCUCUGAGUUCAGAGUCCAGAGGAACCUUGAAAACUGCAUAGAGCUAGGUGAAGAAGCCAAAAAAGAAGACCGCAA
rnacentral:tRNA from 1 species